ensembl:lncRNA GARS1-DT GARS1 divergent transcript
UUUUUUUUUUUUUUUAACAAAAAUGUUUCUCUAAGUGUCUGAACUACUCUCUUCCUAACUUUAAACACCCAACAGUAACCUCUGUUGUUACUCUUUGACUAAAAUAAUUAUUUUAGUUAAAAAAAAAAAAAAAAGAAGAAAGAAAGAAACCAGGUAACACUAUACAAAAGGAAGCAGUGUAAGAUCUGAGACGAAAUUUUCUCUUUUACACUCUUUGAGUUCCAUAAGGAGAAACAGAGGUUGCUCCCCAAAAGGGAGUCUAGUGCCUUCUCUGUUUUCUUUAAGGAAUCCCAGGGUGUUAGAAACUAUUUUAGAUUCCUCAUGCAGCACAGGGUAGCAAGAGAAAGAAGAGGCAGCAGAAGUAAAAUGAAGAAAACAGAAUUUGGUUGACGGAGAAGAAAAAAACUUUUGCUCAAAAAGUUGAAGGAGAGAAAUAAAAAAGGCCUUAACUACACACACACACACACACACACACACACACCUUGGAUGUUAGCUUUUAUUUAAGCUUUUAGCCACUAAGCUCCUUAAAAAAAAUACCUUCAAAUCUCAUUACUGUAUUUUAGCUAGUACAAACUGCUGAUAUUUCAAAAGUAAUGCAAAUACCAAACCAGAAAGGGCUUGAUUUAGGAACCAAACUUAGGCAGUCAUGAUGAAAAUAAGGACAGAAUCUUAGUUUCCAAACUGCAGUGCUGGGGGACAACCAUUGCUCUUUCAGUUUGGCCUGGUUAGCAAAAGAUGGCCUUGUUAUGUAAAUAAAGCCCCUAAGGUAGUCAAAAUCAAAAAAAAUUUUUUUUUCCUUUUGCUAGCUGUUUUUUUCUUUUUUCUUUUUCAGUUGCAGGAAUUUAGCCAAUUCAGAGGUCUUGUUCUCCAUAAUUUGGAAUUUUCCUUCGGAUUUGAUCAAGUUGGAUAGAGUUGGUCAAACCCAAUGGGAAAAAGAUGAAAACAACAAGAAACAGAAACAAACAGCAACAACAACAACAACAAAAACAAUGCAUUUAAUUAAAUGAAGAUGAGCUCAUGCUGGAGUAGGGUGGACUCUGAACCCAGUGGGACAAGCGUCCUUAUUAAGAAGAGGGAAAUCUGGACACACACAGAGCAGAGACCGCCGUGUGAAGAUGGAGGCAGAGAUCGGAGAGAUGCUGCCACACGCCACAAAUGCCUGGGGCUCCCAGAAACUACACGGAGCCUCCCCCAGCGGCUUCAGCAGGAGCAUGGCUCGGCCAACACUUUGAUCUUGGUCUUCCAGCCUCCAGAACGUUUUCCUAAAAUUCCCUUUUCCACUGGUGUGUGGUGCAAGAUGAGGCACAUUUUCCAUGGAUGGUGAACAGAGGGAGGAGCCUUUUGAUCACAACCAGGUCACCCCACUUCUAAGCCACUGUGCCUCCAGCCCCACAAGACUAAGGAGAGAGAGCGCAGCGUGGUGGAGAGUGAGCUGUGCUGGGACCAUUGUUUCCGUAACCUCGUUUUCUGUGUCCAGCUGACACACCUUCAAAGUGGCAUCAGGUCCUAAACUGUAGCUUGCAAUGUGCCUGUUUCCAGAAACCAAGGUGAAAGUGCUUUUAGACAGUGUUCCCAUGCAAGAGUCCCUUCCCAGCUUUUUUCUGGAAAUGCAUGUUUCUCUGAACUCUG